AUACCCUCGGCUUUGUUUUUUGCCUCUCUGCUUUGCUCCCGUUGCUCCUGAAGCCCUGCAACCCUUCACGUCCUUCCCGGUGCCCUCCUCGCGGACCCGACGGGUGGGAUCCUGCCCCCGGCCGCAGCGGAGCUGGAUCCGUGCAGCCUUUCCCCGCCGGGCCCCGGGGGACCCAGCCUCCCCACCACGCACUGCCUUCUGCGGCUUUUCCAUCAUCUGGCAGAGCAUCGCGGUGCUGGGCCAAAGGCAGUCUGCGGAGACGGGAAGGACAGCGGGCACAGCCGGUGGAGAGCCAGCCCUGCCAGGAGCCCCUCUGCCGCCUUCCCUGCUUUCGGACACACGCGUUUCAGGUUGGAGAGCACUGCCGGUUGUCAUCUACACGAGAGGAGAAGCACGCAGCUUUCUGGGGAGGAGAGCCCUUUUCCGUGGGAAGUGAUGAAGCAGAAGUGCCAGCGAGCCAGAGCCCGUGGUUUAUCGCUGCAGGGCAGCACGGAGCUGCCCCUGCCCCUGGCUCCCGCUGCCAAGCCCCCUGCCCCGCAGGCGGAGGGAACGGGGGGUGCGGGGGUGACGUCCUGCGGCACGGAUCUCGGUCGCCUCACCCCCCCCCGGCUC